rnacentral:rRNA from 1 species
UAGUCCACGCCGUAAACGAUGAGUACUAGAUAUCGGAAAUUAAACUUUCGGUUUCGUAGCUAACGCAUUAAGCACUCCGCCUGGGGACUACGGUCGCAAGAUUAAAACUCAAAGGAAUUGACGGGGGCCCGCACAAGCGGUGGAGCAUGUGGUUUAAUUCGAUGCUACGCGAAGAACCUUACCUAGAUUUGACAUCCUGUGCUACCCUGUGAAAGCAGGGGUUCCUUCGGGACGCAGUGACAGGUGCUGCAUGGCUGUCGUCAGCUCGUGUUGUGAGAUGUUGGGUUAAGUCCCGCAACGAGCGCAACCCUCGUCGUUAGUUACCAUCAUUAAGUUGGGCACUCUAACGAUACCGCUAGGCUAUAAGCCAGAGGAAGGUGGGGAUGACGUCAAGUCCUCAUGGCCUUUAUAUCUAGGGCUACACACGUGCUACAAUGGGAUAGGACAAAGCGCAGCUAACUCGCGAGAGUGUGCCAAUCGCAAAAACCUCCCUCAGUUCGGAUUGGAGU